GAUUCAAGUUUGUGUCAAAGGAUCAGUCACCCUGAUAAGAACUGCAUUCUUUCAGUAACUCUAAAUGCUGAGUGAAUGAGCACGAUUACUAAAAGUCAGUGAAACUUUGGACAACCCUGUAAAUGACCCAGUUCAGCUUUAAUGCAGUGUCCCAUUUGCAGCUAACAGCUCUGCUUACAAGAUCAGACCCAUAAAAAGCUUCUGAUGUGCCGUCCUCCUGAGUUGCUUUAAGAAAGCAGGGGCAGCAGGGUUGUUAAGUACUGGCCUUGUAACACAUCAGAAGCAGCAUGAAGCAGGCAUUGCUUCCCCUCUCCUCCCAGUUCUCUUGAGUCUUGAUCUGACUCUCGGCUCUGUUCAGCCCUCUGCACUGGCGCUGAAUCUUGCUAAUCUUUCCAGGAGUUUCUAUUCAAUCUGCCAGCUGGACAAAGGGGCAGGAAGCAGCUUUUUCCCCCUCAGUGAGAGGCGGACUGAGAGGGGAAAGACAGAUUUGGACAGAGAGGAGGAAGAAAAGACAGAGGUAAAGUAGAAACAAAUACCAGAAGAGCAGUUUCUGGUGCCGUUCUCUCUCAGGGAGUGAUCAACUGACCGCAGAACAAGCAGAGCUGCUUCCUGGUGAGCCCAGAGCUCCGCAUGGGUAUGACAAGCACCUAUACACACACACUGUGUGGUCGCACUCAUUAUGACUUCCACACCAACAGAUUUAAUAUAUAAAACCAAAAACGACAACACUAUAUACCACAUCAGAGCAAAAAUCACAAAACCACAGCACAGCCAGUGGCACAGAGGCUGUUCAUCAUCUGUGCUGGCACAGUGGGGGUGCACACAGUAAAAACACAAGGUCCUCUGGCAAAAAAGUGGUGUACCUCAGCUUUUACUGAAACAUGAUGUGUCAUACAGCAAUAUGCUGCACUAGCCAAUGUGUUCAUUUUGGGGCCUAAUUUAGAUUCGGAUUUUGAAUUUUGGUGACUCUGGCUGUUGUGUUGUAUCAUCAGGUCUGUCGCCGUAUGUCUUGGACACUCGGGUGAAGAGAAGGACAGAACAACUGAUCACCAUCUGUAUAUCACAAUUGAUAUUAUAUCGCCCAUCCCUGGUGGGGAGUUGGAACAGAUGGCGGGGAAGGCUUCCAUACAGACCUGGCAAACCCAGAGUUGUGGAAAGAUCACUUUGAGGCGCUCCUGAACCGACCCACUCACCCUGCCACCCUGGCAGAGGUUGCUGAGGUAGUCAAGAAGACAAGUAUAAAGCUGCAGUGCAUCAACUCCUGGAGUAUUUUACAAAUUUGUCAACAACAAGCGACAAAGCCCCUUUGAAGUGAACUACAGCUGGGAUAAAUACACAAGGGGAAAAAGGGUGUUUUAAGGAGAAGAGAGGUGAGGGGAGGGAAGACUCGCAGAGAGAAAUAACAGGCUUUCCCCGAGGAGCAUGGAAAGAGGAAAUGGAGUCAACACCGCCAAAAUCCAUCAAACAAAUCAAAUCAUACAACAGAAAAGUAACAGAGACCAGCAAAUGAAGCCGAAUGGAGAAACAUAAAGCUAAGUAGAUGAAGACGAGGCAACACAAACAAAC